rnacentral:rRNA from 1 species
UACAGAGGGUGCGAGCGUUGUUCGGAAUUACUGGGCGUAAAGCGCACGUAGGCGGAUUGUUAAGUCGGGGGUGAAAUCCUGGAGCUCAACUCCAGAACUGCCUUCGAUACUGGCGAUCUCGAGUCCGGGAGAGGUGAGUGGAACUGCGAGUGUAGAGGUGAAAUUCGUAGAUAUUCGCAAGAACACCAGUGGCGAAAGGCGGCCUCACUGGCCCGGGUACUGACGCUGAGGUGCGAAAGCGUGGGGAGCAAACAGG